AACCUGGAUCCGUUUGCAUCCCUACUCGGGAGUCGGAAUCGGAAUGGGACUCCCGCGUACCAAACACCCACAAACGAAUUCGCCAAACACUCCCUCUGUUCUUCUCUUUAUUUUAUUAGAUAAAUAAAUAAAUAAAUAAAUAUAUUAAUAUACAUAGUAUUUUUAUGAUAAUAUAUUUAUACUUAAAUCUUAUAUAUAAUAUAAAUUAAUUAAAUUUAAUAUAUUAUAUAUUUGAUUAAGUUUUACUAUUUAUGUAUUAAUAUUUAAUUAUUUUUUAUAUUAAAUAUUAUAUAUAUAUAAUAAAAUAAAUAUACUAUUUUAAAUUAAACUUACAUAAAAUAUUAUAUUAUAAAUUACAAAAUGAAAUAAUUUUAUAAAUAACUUUAUAUAAAAUAUACUAAUAUAAAUUAAUUAUUUUAUUUUUAAAAAUAUAUUUGGACAUUAUUCUUGACUUUUUAUCCAAACGCUAUUAAAAAUAUCCUCUAAAAUAUUCCCGAAUAUAUCCAAACGUAAAUUUAUAAUUAUUAUCUAUUAAAUUAUAUGAAUCCUCAAUAUAUUUUGCCACGUGGCAAGUUUUUCUUCACCUUCACCACCAUGUGAUUCUUUCCCUUCACUUCAUCAAAAUGAAUCCUCAAUAUAUUUUGCCACGUGGCAAGUUUUUCUUCACCUUCAUCACCAUGUGAUUCUUUCCCUUCACUUCAUCAAAUUUUUAAUUAACGUAUCUAAUUAAUACAUCUAAAAUGGCCUACUACUAAACUUCCAAUUAAUGUAUUUAAAUGGUUCCCUAUCAAGUUUUUCUUCACCUUCACCACCAUGUGAUUCUUCCCCUUCUCUUCAUCAAAUUUUUAAUUAACGUAUCUAAUUAAUACAUCUAAAAUGGACUACUACUAAACUUCCAAUUAAUGUAUUUAAAUGGUUCCCUAUCAAGUUUUUCUUCACCUUCACCACCAUGUGAUUCUUCCCCUUCUCUUCAUCAAAUUUUUAAUUAACGUAUCUAAUUAAUACAUCUAAAAUGGCCUACUACUAAACUUCCAAUUAAUGUAUUUAAAUUCUCCAUUAAAUUUUUAAUUAACGUAUCUAAUUAAUACAUCUAAAAUGGCCCACUACUAAACUUCCAAUUUAUGUAUUUAAAUGUUCCCCUUGUCAUUUAUAAUUCUCACCAUUUUAUUUCUAAUUAAUUUAUUACGAUCCUUCACUUUUCCUCCACAAGACUUCUAAUUAGUCCAUCUUCGUC
rnacentral:lncRNA from 1 species